AUUGAACGCUGGCGGCAGGCCUAACACAUGCAAGUCGAGCGGAUGAAGGGAGCUUGCUCCUGGAUUCAGCGGCGGACGGGUGAGUAAUGCCUAGGAAUCUGCCUGGUAGUGGGGGAUAACGUCCGGAAACGGGCGCUAAUACCGCAUACGUCCUGAGGGAGAAAGUGGGGGAUCUUCGGACCUCACGCUAUCAGAUGAGCCUAGGUCGGAUUAGCUAGUUGGUGGGGUAAAGGCCUACCAAGGCGACGAUCCGUAACUGGUCUGAGAGGAUGAUCAGUCACACUGGAACUGAGACACGGUCCAGACUCCUACGGGAGGCAGCAGUGGGGAAUAUUGGACAAUGGGCGAAAGCCUGAUCCAACCAUGCCGCGUGUGUGAAGAAGGUCUUCGGAUUGUAAAGCACUUUAAGUUGGGAGGAAGGGCAGUAAGUUAAUACCUUGCUGUUUUGACGGUACCAACAGAAUAAGCACCGGCUAACUUCGUG
rnacentral:rRNA from 1 species